rnacentral:rRNA from 1 species
AUUCGUAUAUACGUNCUAGUCGAGCGCNACCAGAGGCUUCGGUCUUGGGGAGAGCGGCGAACGGGUGAGUAACACGUGAGCAACCUACCGUUUGGAGGGGGAUAACCCUCAGAAAUGAGGGCUAAUACCGCAUGAGCUUAGGGAGUUGCAGGACUUUGCAAGCAAAGGUGAGUAGCGCCAGACGAGGGGCUUGCGGCCCAUCAGCUAGUAGGUGUGGUAGUGGCGCACCUAGGCGAUGACGGGUAGCUGUUCUGAGAGGAUGAUCAGCCACACUGGGACUGAGACACGGCCCAGACUCCUACGGGAGGCAGCAGCGAGGAAUUUUCCACAAUGGACCGAGAUAAGGUCUGAUGGAGCAACGCCGCGUGGAGGAGGAAGCACUUCGGUGUGUAAACUUCUUUUGGGUGGGAAGAUGAUGACGGUACCACCCGAAUAAGCCCCGGCUAACUACGUGCCAGCAGCCGCGGUAAUACGUAGGGGGCUAGCGUUGUCCGGAAUUACUGGGCGUAAAGAGCGCGCAGGUGGUCUGAUAAGUCACACGUGAAAGCCCCCGGCUCAACUGGGGAGGGUCGAGUGAUACUGUUGGACUUGAGGUUGGGAGAGGAGUGUGGAAUUCCCGGUGUAGUGGUGAAAUGCGUAGAUAUCGGGAGGAACACCAGUGGCGAAGGCGGCACUCUGGCCCACACCUGACGCUGAGGCGCGAAGGCUGGGGGAGCGAACGGGAUUAGAUACCCCGGUAGUCCCAGCAGUAAACGAUGGACACUAGGUGUCGGGGGUGUUGACCCCUCCGGUGCCCAAGCUAACGCAUUAAGUGUCCCGCCUGGGGAGUACGGCCGCGAGGCUAAAACUCAAAGNAAUUGACGGGGGCCCGCACAAGCAGCG